rnacentral:rRNA from 1 species
GAGGAAGUAAAAGUCGUAACAAGGUCUCCGUUGGUGAACCAGCGGAGGGAUCAUUACUGAGUUACCGCUCAUCAACCCUUUGUGAACAUACCUUAACUGUUGCUUCGGCGGGUAGGCGUCCCCUAAAAAGGACGUCUCCCGGCCCUCUCCCGUCCGCGGGUGGGGCGCCCGCCGGAGGAUAACCAAACUCUGAUUUAACGACGUUUCUUCUGAGUGACACAAGCAAAUAAUCAAAACUUUUAACAACGGAUCUCUUGGUUCUGGCAUCGAUGAAGAACGCAGCGAAAUGCGAUAAGUAAUGUGAAUUGCAGAAUUCAGUGAAUCAUCGAAUCUUUGAACGCACAUUGCGCCCGCCAGCAUUCUGGCGGGCAUGCCUGUUCGAGCGUCAUUUCAACCCUCAAGCUCUGCUUGGUGUUGGGGCUCUACGGUUGACGUAGGCCCUUAAAGGUAGUGGCGGACCCUCUCGGAGCCUCCUUUGCGUAGUAACAUUUCGUCUCGCAUUGGGAUUCGGAGGGACUCUAGCCGUAAAACCCCCAAUUUUACUAAGGUUGACCUCGGAUCAGGUAGGAAUACCCGCUGAACUUAAGCAUAUCAAUAAGCGGAGG